rnacentral:ncRNA from 1 species
CCAGGACGGUGGCCAUGGAAGUCGGUCCCCGCUAAGGAGUAUGUAACAACUGACCUGCCGA